UAAGGGGCGGGUCUUGGUGGGUUUCCUUCCGCGUAGUGCCGGGUCACUACAAAACCCUACAUAUAUUUUGUCCAGUAGGCAUAAGCCUAUAAUAACAAUGUUAGAGGACAUUAGGGAAAGCCAAAUGGAGAGAUUGCACAAAAAAAAAAAAAAAAAAAAAAAAAAAAAAAAAAAAAAGACUAUAUAGCCAAGAAAGACAUCAAUAUCUGUCCUAGGAUCCAACUCAGAUUAGAAAAAUCCAAGAUUGAUGCAAGGGGAUGGUCAGCAUUCUAGGAUUGUCAUUUCACAUAUGGAGUCAGAGAGGGUGCUUACACAAACCAGGUAUGUUGUCAGCUUGCUUGACAAAACUUGUAGCUGCAAUGCAUGGCAGUUAAGUGGUGUGCCAUGUAAUCAUGCUGUUGCAGCCAUCUGGAAGGCAGUAAAGCAUCCCGAUGGCUGCAAAGACACAUACCUAAAGGCUUAUGAUUUUCCCUUAGAGCCUUUAAAUGGACCUCAACAAUGGCCUGAUUCACCAUAUGCUCCAAUUCAAGCACCCCAAGUGAAAAAAAUUCAACAUAGGCCAACUGCAAAAAGGAAGCCAUCAGUUGGUGAGGUUGAAGGGAUAAAAAUGUCUAGAAAAGGCCAGCCACAAAAGUGCAAUGGGCAGCAGGGGCAUAACAUAAGGAAAUGUCCAAUGCCAUUGAAAGAGCCUCCCCCCUCCCCCCCCCCCCCCCAAAAUAAAAAAAAAAAAUCAAAUAAGCAUACAGCUCAAAAGGACAAGCUUCUGAUGCAGGCCCAAAGAAGAGGAAACAACAACAAAACCAGCACCAACAGGCCUGUCCUAGCACCCAACAAAGUCAACUUAAUCUUCCUAUGCAUAACAGGGGUGUAGGAGUAAACACUUACCCAAAUGCCUACACAAAACAAGCUAUGCAAAUCAAUACAUCUCAAACUACUCAGUCACAAUCCAACAUUGGAUCAAGUACUACAACUGUCUGGAGGUUCAGCUUUUGGAGAAGAUAAUGGAGGCUUCAACUCUGCAUCUGAUUGUAUUUAUACUCCUUGUAUUACUUUCUCCAACGGCUAGUUUUUUGGAUUUGUAUCCGUUUUACAAAAAUUGUACCUAAAUUCCUUCACUUAUUUUUGGUUUGGAUAAGAUUCAAGGACCUGUGUUUUCUAGUUUGACAGCAUUUAUUAAGGGACUAUGUUUUUUAGGAAGGGAUUAUGUUUUAUUUUGCCAAAAAAUAAUGCUAAGAGACUAAGAUUUUCUCAGGUGAGUUAACUUGCCGAAUUCUUAAUUUUAGGUCCCAAAAGGUGAAAAAAAAAAAAAACUCAGGUCCCAAAAGGUGAAAAUCUUAAAAACUUAAACCCCGACUUUGUACUUAACUCCAAAUAUGUUUAGACGAAAUUCUAUUUAUGGCAUCAC